rnacentral:snRNA from 1 species
UUGCUGCGGCAGCACAUACACGGAAAUUAGCACGAUGCAGAAAAGAUAAGCAUGUCAUUGCAAGAUGACAUGCAAAUUCACAGUGUUUGAUGUUUUU